GUGAAUCAUCGAAUCUUUGAACGCACAUUGCGCCCCCUGGCAUUCCGGGGGGCAUGCCUGUCCGAGCGUCAUUUCUGCCCUCAAGCACGGCUUGGGUGUUGGGUUCCGUCCCCCUCCAAAGGGACGGGCCUGAAAGGCAGUGGCGGUGUCAUGUCCGGUUCUCGAGCGUAUGGGGCUCUGUCACUCGCUCUGGAGAUCGUCUUGGUGCCUGCCCAUCCUCCAUCUUUCUCAAAGGUUGACCUCGGAUCAGGUAGGGAUACCCGCUGAACUUAAGCAUAUCAAUAAGCGGAGGAG
rnacentral:misc_RNA from 1 species